rnacentral:rRNA from 1 species
CCUACGGGGGGCAGCAGUGAGGAAUAUUGGUCAAUGGCCGGAAGGCUGAACCAGCCAUGCCGCGUGAAGGUCAGUGCCCUAUGGGCGUUAAACUUCUUUUGUGCGGGAGCAAUAAUGGUCACGUGUGGCCAGACGAGAGUACCGUACGAAUAAGCAUCGGCUAACUCCGUGCCAGCAGCCGCGGUAAUACGGGGGAUGCAAGCGUUAUCCGGCUUUAUUGGGUUUAAAGGGUGCGUAGGCUGUGAGGUAAGUCAGCGGUGAAAUGCCCCCGCUCAACGGGGUGAAGUGCCAUUGAUACUGCCUUGCUGGAGUGCGGAUGCCGUAGGAGGAAUUUGUGGUGUAGCGGUGAAAUGCAUAGAUAUCACACAGAACACCGAUUGCGAAGGCAGCUCACGAAUCCGCGAUUGACGCUGAUGCACGAAAGCGUGGGUAUCAAACAGGAUUAGAUACCCGAGUAGUC